UCUAAGGAAAAAGUUAUCAUCUUCAGUUUUGACAGACCA
rnacentral:misc_RNA from 1 species